rnacentral:rRNA from 1 species
UACGGAGGGGGUUAGCGUUGUUCGGAAUUACUGGGCGUAAAGCGCGCGUAGGCGGAUUAGAAAGUUGGGGGUGAAAUCCCGGGGCUCAACCUCGGAACUGCCUCCAAAACUGCUAGUCUAGAGUUCGAGAGAGGUGAGNGGAAUUCCGAGUGUAGAGGUGAAAUUCGUAGAUAUUCGGAGGAACACCAGUGGCGAAGGCGGCUCACUGGCUCGAUACUGACGCUGAGGUGCGAAAGUGUGGGGAGCAAACAGG